rfam:Strongyloides venezuelensis genome assembly, scaffold: SVE_scaffold0000098
GCGUUUAUGGUGUAAUGGUCAGCAUGGCCGCCUUCCAAGCGGCCGAUUCGGGUUCGAUUCCCGAUAAACGCA